rnacentral:rRNA from 1 species
UACGGGGGGCAAGCGUUGUUCGGAAUUACUGGGCGUAAAGGGCUCGUAGGCGGCCAACUAAGUCAGACGUGAAAUCCCUCGGCUUAACCGGGGAACUGCAUCUGAUACUGGAUGGCUUGAGUUCGGGAGAGGGAGUGCGGAAUUCCAGGUGUAGCGGUGAAAUGCGUAGAUAUCGGAGGAACACCGGUGGCGAAGGCGGCAUCCUGG